rnacentral:piRNA from 1 species
GGUUUGGUGAUGGCCAGGUG